AUUGAACGCUGGCGGCAGGCCUAACACAUGCAAGUCGAGCGGACGAAGGGAGCUUGCUCCUGGAUUCAGCGGCGGACGGGUGAGUAAUGCCUAGGAAUCUGCCUGGUCGUGGGGGCUGACGUCCGGACACGGGCGCUAAUACCGCAUACGUCCUGAUGGAGAACGUGGGGGAUCUUCGGACCUCACGCUAUCAGAUGAGCCUAGGUCGGAUUAGCUAGUUGGUGGGGUAAAGGCCUACCAAGGCGACGAUCCGUAACUGGUCUGAGAGGAUGAUCAGUCACACUGGAACUGAGACACGGUCCAGACUCCUACGGGAGGCAGCAGUGGGGAAUAUUGGACAAUGGGCGAAAGCCUGAUCCAGCCAUGCCGCGUGUGUGAAGAAGGUCUUCGGAUUGUAAAGCUCUGUAAGUUGGGAGGAAGGGCAGUAAGUUAAUACCUUGCUGUUUUGACGUUACCAACAGAAUAAGCACCGGCUAACUUCGUG
rnacentral:rRNA from 1 species